rnacentral:misc_RNA from 1 species
AGCAUACAACACCUUAUAAAUGUAUACAGACUACAGAGAGAUAUGGAAGGAAGGUUAACAUCGAUCGUAUCAUCAGAGAGCCAGCCAUCCUCCGAUCUUGUGUCCGACUCUGCCAUGCCAGAAGAAGCAGGGAACGACUGUACUGGCUGCCUUUAUUUCGCUGGUAUGGUAUCCUUUUUGGUGCUGGUUUUCGGGUAUCUGAUCCUCGUAGUAGGGGCGCCCGAGCCGGGCAUCUUCGACGUUUGGGUGGAGAAUGGAACCCUCCACGCCAUGGACAUGGUGGACUCCUCCUCCAGCAACUCCACCCUGACAUACAGCCUCUCCGCUGUAUACGGCUUCCGCAACAAAAACUACCACCGUGACGCCGAGAGGGUCGCCAAGCUUGCCGUGGCGCCCAUGUAUGGCGGCCAGCAGCUGGGGCCGGGAUCCAGCCUGCCGGCGGCCUUCCGGGUGGGGUAUUGGGAGACGGCCACGGUUCCCUGGGACGUGCGCGGGGAGCAGCCCGCUGGCGCGUUGGUCGCCAGGACGUACGCGGACGACGCCGCGCGGGGCUACUACGCCAUACAGGUGAAGCUAAGCCUGGGUUUGGGAGGACUCCGGUGGUGCGACUGCUCCUGCACCCUCUAUUUCUUCGCGCCGCUGCCGCCGCCACAGCCGUCAUCGUCUUCGUCCCCAAGAGGCGUUCCCAACAUCUUCGAUGGCGACGACUGUUGGACUACAUGUAAAACCAGUGUGUUGCAUGACGCCGAACAUGCUAAGCAAAUUAAGGAACAAUAAAGUAUCAAACAUUGCACUUAGAGCUCUUAUUAAGGAACAAGACUUGAGCACUCUCAAUGUUUUAUGCUAGCUAGCUAUUGGCAUCUUUGGAACAUAAAGAAUGCCAAAUUUUCAGAGACGACCUCACAUCGCUCCCUCCUACUCUC